rnacentral:tRNA from 1 species
GGGGACGUAGCAUAGCGGCUAAUGCACCUGCCUGUCACGUAGGAUAUCGCGAGUUCGAAUCUCGUCGUUCCCGCCA